UCAACGAAUUUGCUUGUUGAAACUUGUAUCAACAGUAAAUCCUCUGUGAAUGAAUUGUAAAAGUUAACCGUUUAUGAUUAUGAGAACAAUAAACCAUUUAUUACUUUUAACAAGAUGAUUUUCCAUUCUUUUUUGUUGUUAUGCAGGAAAAAACUGGCUUAAGACAUGAGCCACGCUGUGGAAAAAUAGGGCUUAAUGCAUGUGCUUAGAUUGUAGUCCCAGAUUAGCCUGUGCAGUCCGCACAGGCUACUUAGGGACAACAAUUACCUCUUUAAAGGAGAGCACCAGCAUUGAUAUCGAGUUGGCCAAGCAACAGCACAAGUCCGGCCUGCAGGAGCCCCAAUACAGAACCAUCCUUUCCCUCCCCUGAUCCCUAGCUCCUCCCACUGGACCUCUGGCCACAAAGGGUCAGCAUCGUUACACAAGUCUGUUCUGCAAUAAAUCCUCAGCACGUCAAGUUUUCACGCGCUGUUUUGAACAAUCAAAAUGUCCGCGUCGAGAUUUCCCCAAGCAAGCCCGAGUAGUUUUGUUUAGCUCUAGUGCCCGAGUGGGAUGAGUGUUACAGAAGCGAGACGUUAUAGCAGUACAUAUGGUAACGCAAACAGUUAACGCUAACAGUUAGUUCUCGCUGUGGACAUCAUGAAGAAUCUCACAAAGAAUUAAACGUUGAAUAAUUUGUUUCAUUCUUUAUAAGACACAGGGUUCGCACAUGGCUUGAAAAGUGCUUGAAAACGAGUCCUAGGCUUGAAAAGCCCUUGAACAAAGGUUGGCCUUAAAACAGUGCUUGAAAAGUGCUUAGUUCAUGUAAAAAAGCCUUGAAAAUGUUUAUUUCUGCUCAAAAUUACUUUUCUCAUGGAUUUAAUUAUAAACUUAAAUCGUUCUUAUGGGAAAUAUUACGAAAAUGUAUCAGAUUCCUUCGCGCAAAAAGUUGAGUACAAAAUAUAAGUUUCGUACAAUAUUGAGUACGAAAUGUUAUGUGUACACGUCACAGAUUAUGUGUGCUACGUCAGAGGUUCUCCAUUGUGAUCAAUUUUCGCGAGUGAAAACGCAGCAAUGGGGAAGUGUCGUUUCAAACCAGGGUGGUUAACUGAAUAUUCCUGGGUACAGAAAACAAAUGACAUUCAAAAAGCACAUUGUUGGGUCUGUAUGAAGACCAUUGAUGUCGGGGGUAUGGAGGAAAGCGCUUUGAAAAGCCACAAGAAAGUGAAAACCCUCAAAGAAAACAUGAAAUUGAGAAGCAAACAGGGUUCCUGCGAUGUGUUUUUUGUUAAACAGGAAGGUACUAUUGUUAAAACUGUUAAAUCUAAAACAGACUUAAAAAACAACAGCCCAUCUGUGUCGAACCAGGAAGGCACAGCCACAUGCAGAGAGUGUGCAGAUAGAAGAUUCAAAUUCCAGGACCUUCGCAACUUUCAGCUGUAGUAUCAAACUCGCAGACAUCCAUAGACAAAUUUGUUAAAAAAAAUGAUAUGUUGAACGCGAAAGUAUUUUGGGUAUUUAUACCGUUUGCACACAACCAUCCUUUAAUUCCAAUAAAAACAUUACAAAGUUGUUUCAAGUUGUGUUCCAUGACAGUACCAUAGCAAAGCAUAAUUAUGUGGCUGUUUUGGGGCUAGCUGAACAUUUUAAAACUGUACUUUAUAGUUCUAUAACUUAAAUAGUGGACAGUACUCAGUGUCUCAGUACUCAGUGUCUUUUGAUGAAAGUUUAAACAAGAAAGACCAAUCCAAGCAAAUGAAAAAGGCAUUUUUUUAAAGGAAACUAACGUACAGUUUAUGGACUUGAAAAUGAAUAUUUGGUCUUGGAAAGUCCUUGAAAAGUGCUUGAAUUUAGGUUUGAGAUUUCUGUUUGAACCAUGAGACAUCUAUAUAUUCAGCAAGGAACGAGAGCAAAUCAAGGAACAAUCGAAACGAUUCAUUCAGAAGUGUUUCUGCUGUAAAUAGUUAGGACAGUAGUAGUGUUACGGACUGUCCUCAGCGCACAAUUUAUUCAUGUGGUGCGCCUCAGACGCGAAUUCCGCCCAUUAUUGAAAACAAGUUGCUAAAAGUAAACACAUCCGGUUUUGUUACGAGCACUUUGCACUCCGAGCCAAAAGGGCAUUGCAUUGAAUUGAGACUAAAGAAGGCUUGAAAACAUGACCCCAGUUUUGUUGUAUGGUCCAGUACGCCCUUCGACUCUCAACCCGAAGUUUAUCAGAACUCAAACUCGGCCCUUAACAAUAUCCACAAGGCCAGCAUAUCAGCUCAGCUUCUGAGCUUCAGCAAACACUAUAAGCCGCCAAGAUAAAAAAAUCGUUGAAGUGAAAGUCGAUGACAAUCUUGACCCCUUCGCUUAAGUAAUUCAGCACAAAAACGUCUUGCGUCAGAGUAGCAAGCCUCCAAACAUCUUCUCCCGUGUUGGCUUCAUCAACACUUCUUACAGCGGAGCCUUGGCGAGUUCGACUUCCAUCCCAGCACCGAUUUUGCUUAGCAACAAUUCAAUGCUGUGAAUCGACAAAUUGUUCCAGACGAGUCGCUUAAACAGAAACUAUCUGAUCCAACAGAUAGAGCAGGCGUUGCGUGACUUGUCCCUUAUUGCGACAGACCUCAAUAUGUUGCUCUCGAAUAAUGUGAACCUUAUGCCAAGCCUGUUCCUACAGGAACCUAUGCAAUCAUAGAUCCGUACCGAGCUGAACAACAUGCUCUCUGGUCAGCUGGGCCCAGACGCCCAGGGACACCUCCUGGCCCAGGACCUUGGGACAAAUGUUCAAAUAGUACUACCCGCAGAAUGCAGCCACUCUGAAUCCGGGGCUCCAUACUUUCUUGGCCAGGGGACAAGACUACCUCGUCAAUAAGAGGCCUUAUACUCACAAGUUCAAGCCCAGUGAGUGAUGUUCACAUUAUCAAACUCUGCAUCUCAAUAGAAACCUGGACAGCAAAGCGUUGAUUUUGUUCUUGAAGCAUUUGCAACAGCAGCAGUCAUCAUCUUGAGACUAUGGCAUCUCCAUUGUGAAGGACCCUCAGUCUGUGAUCAUCAUGUAGAGCGAACCUCGGAUGCCAUUUGACGAAAUCAAACCAUCCAAUCAGAAACACAGCCUGUUGCAGCAGUUGUUACCAUAUUGAUCCCAGUCAAACCUAAGAAGCUCAAACAUGAAUACUGCUUUAGAUGUGCUAGUCUCUACAUACCUCCUGCUUUGUUCAGCACUUACUUUGACCUUUGGCUUUUAUGACGGGUGGACAUGAAUGACCAUGUUUAGAUCGAAAUGGCCGAAUGACACAUCACAAAAUUUCAAGUGGAAAGCCAGAAAGUCAUGUCAACAGCCACAUGUUGUAUGUGACCAGCCAAGUUGUAGUCAACGAAAAACAAUAGUUUACGUUUUAUUUGUUUAGAUCGAAAUGGCCGAAUGACACAUCACAAAAAUUCAAGUGGAAAGCCAGAAAGUCAUGUCAACAGCCACAUGUUGUAUGUUACCAACCAAGUUGAAUUCCAAUAAUAACAAUAGUUUAUGUAUUUUGGAAAUUAUGAUGCAUGUUAAGUAUUUUAAAAGCACGCAUAUUAAAUGUCUAUCUAAUGUAUUUGUCUGUAUUAUGAAAUUUUAACUACAGAUUUUGAUCCUGAUAAUGGUAAUAAAUGGGAAAUAUUACCAAAGAUUUUUUAAGAUUGUCAAAGCUGUUUAAAUGAUGCUGGUAACUUGGACAAAAUUGAAAAAAUAUUGUAGUAUUUUUUGUUAUAAGACAUGUUUCAGUUUUCUGUUUUAACCCGUUAAUAUAGAAAGCUAAUGAAAAAUAUUUUUUCAGAAAGGUGUAAAAUGUUUACGCUUCAGAUUUUUGUCCAUCAACCUUUUGAAAAAAAUACUAGUCAAUUGGCUCAUGCGGGUCGGUAUUCGAUCAUGAAUCUUUUUUAGUAGCAUACUAUGUAGUUCAUGGGAAUAUAAAUAAAUUCUGGGCAAUUUUUUUUAAUCUACCUUUAAUAAUUGAUUCUGUAUUUACUACUAGUACUUUGUUGAUUUCAAUGGAUAGUGUUUGUUAAAUGAUAAGAGUAUGACUCUUGUUGAAAAGCUUUAAAUGAAACUGUGAAUUAAAAUAUAAAUAUUAAAUCUGUUGUAGAGUUUUAUGAAAAAUGGCAAAGAUUGUUAAGUUGUGUUGUUUUAUCAUAUACUAACAUGGUCAUCAGUGUUAAAAUUUGUUUUUGGACAUUAUAGUAUAUUAUGCUUUAUAUUUGUAUAUGUACAUGAAGACGACCAGAUUGUAUCCUCUUUAAUCAGUGAGUAAUUUAAUCAAGAUUUCUUGAUCACUGUAUCAAGUGUAUAUGUAUAUUUUGCCAUUUAUACAUAGAGCAUCUGUAAAACAAUUGCAUUUUCAAUGUAAUGUAUUCAUGUAUUGUUGCCAUUUUUAAGCACCCCUUCGAAGAAGAGGGGGUAUAUUGCUUUGCUCAUGUCGGUCUGUCUGUCUGUCGGUCGGUCAGUCGGUCGGUCCGUUCACCAGGUGGUUGUCAGACGAUAACUCAAGAACGCUUGGGCCUAGGAUCAUGAAACUUCAUAGGUACAUUGAUCAUGACUCGCAGAUGACCCCUUUUGAUUUUAAGGUCAAAGGUCAAGGUCACGGUGACCAGAAAUAGUAAAAUAGUUUUUUAAUGAUAACUCAAGAAUGCAUACGCGGCCAACAGGGCAAACUCUGAACAAUAUUACUGAAGCAACUGGUCUGUAAUUCUAAAUCUAUAAUUAUCAGUCCAAUGAAACAUCAUCCUCUGAGUAAAAUACAGUGGAUCAGUAAAAAUAUUUUCAGAAUAUGAGAUUUUUUGUAUAUUUUGUAUAUUAAAUAUUGUGUUAAUGUUUAAUUUUGUUGAUUAAUAUAAAUAUAAGCAGGACAGGGGAGGUAAUACAUUAUUAUAUCUUUCUUAUAUACAGGGGAAACAAAUGCAAUAAGUUUAAAUUUAUUGUUACAGCAUUUGCCUCCCUUGUAAUAUAUUUAAAUUUUACCAAAUGUAAGGCUAACUGCAUUUUCAUUUUAUCAAUAACCACCACCAUUACCACCACCACCACCACCACCACCACCACCGUUGUUCACAGUGACAAAAAAACGUAUUCACACAAUGGCUGCUUCUACAACUUAUAGCCCAUAUAGGGGGGCAUGCAUGUUUUACAAACAGCCCUUGUUAUAAGAUAAACUCACUGUUAACAUUAAUUUGUACAAACCAUAGUUAUAAAAAAACAUUUCUUGUGUCAAUGCUAAAACAUGUAUUAAACUGUUAAAAUAAUGCACAGUAACAACUUCUGAAGAGAAAAAUAUACUUAAGGCUACGGGUGCAGUUUUGAAUAAAUGAAAGCUUGUCAGAAUUUAUUUGAGAGGUCACAGUGGCUUGACCAUUGAACUAGAGACCCCAAAAUGUGUAGAACUUAUCAAGGUGCAUCUACAUAUGAAGUUUGAAAGUUGUAGUUGGAAGCACUUUGAUUUUAGAGUAAAUGUUAAGGUUUUAGCACGACGCAGACUUCCGACGACACGACGAACUGUAUGACAAUACCUUGGGUUUUCUCCAAAAAUACCGAGCUAAAAAUAAAAACUAAGAUGUCUGCUUUGCAAUUUUUCUUAAAAUAUACACUUAUUAAACGUGAACAGUAUUGACAUAUUGCUUACGAUAAAGUUUGACAUUUUAUUAGUUUUGUAACAGUGUGUUUCACCUUUCACAUUGACCAUCCCACAAUCCCACAUUUGCUUUCAGUGGGGCCAGUGUCUGUAAAUCUUCCACUACAAGUUCAGCAAAUGUUUUAUGACCAGAUUUCCUCAUAUUUGGGAAUGUUUAUUUUUAACUUUUAUUGAAUGCAUGAAACAUGUUUGUUCUGUUUUUGAAUAGCUGAAAACAGCUUGAUGUUUGUAAAUUGUGUGACAUGUUGAUCAAAUUGAUACAUAGAAAAAAACACUUUUUGCGUUUAUUUUUAUGUGUAGCUUAACAACACGUUACCAAAUACAAAUUUAAUUAUUUGGUAACAAUAUAAUUGUUGUGCUAUAUUCGUAAUACCGUAUGAAAUGCAAUUUUUAUUAUAAUGUGUGUUUGUCUACUCCAAAUAAUCAUUUUGAAUAAGAAAAUAUAGGGUAAUAAUAUUUAUGGAAAGUACCUGUAGGCACGUUUCAAUUGCUUGUGUAACUCAUAUGGAUCAGGGUCUUUCUAAAUUAUUGCAUGAUUGUUUAUGCCUAUGUCUGAAUUGUGUAAAUAUCUUCAAAAUCGUGAGAUAUUUGUUAAGAGGAUUUUAAUAUUAAAAGAUAUUAUAGCAUCUAAACUUUAACCGGUCAUCUUUUGCAUUUAUUUUUAUGUGUUUAUAUUGUUUUGCUACCGAGUUUAAUAUUGUCUAUAUUCGUGCGUAAUUUUGUUGUGGUUGUUUUGUUAAGACAAAGCGCAUAUCACUAAUGCUGUUGUUUUUGUUUUAUAGUAUAUGUAAAUAAUUAAACAUGUUUAUUUUGGUGAUAUGUAUUUCCCAAUCUAAGUGUGAUGUUGCAUUCUCAAUAAAGUACAUAGCCAUUCACGUGGAAUAGUAUUGCUAAGUGACAAUUUGUUGUCUUUACAAAUAAAAUCCGCAAGGAU